rnacentral:rRNA from 1 species
CCUACGGGAGGCAGCAGUGGGGAAUAUUGCACAAUGGGGGAAACCCUGAUGCAGCGACGCCGCGUGAGUGAAGAAGUAUUUCGUUAUGUAAAGCUCUAUCAGUAGGGAAGAAAAUGACGGUACCUGACUAAGAAGCCCCGGCUAAUUACGUGCCAGCAGCCGCGGUAAUACGUAGGGGGCAAGCGUUAUCCGGAUUUACUGGGGGUUAAGGGAGCGUAGGCGGCAGUGCAAGUCUGGAGUGAAAGGCGGGGGCUCAACCCCCGGACUGCUCUGGAAACUGUACGGCUGGAGUGCAGGAGAGGUAAGUGGAAUUCCUGGUGUAGCGGUGAAAUGCGUAGAUAUUAGGAGGAACACCAGUGGCGAAGGCGGCUUACUGGACUGUAACUGACGUUGAGGCACGAAAGCGUGGGGAGCAAACAGGAUUAGAUACCCGAGUAGUC